CACUCGUCCAGUGGUGAUUUGGCCGGUCGCUUGCAGCCACUUAAAACAAAUUGCUAAAGACCGUUCGAACCGGCCG
rnacentral:ncRNA from 2 species